UACGGAGGGUGCAAGCGUUAAUCGGAAUUACUGGGCGUAAAGAGCGUGUAGGCGGCUCGGUAAGUCCGCUGUGAAAGUCCAGGGCUCAACCCUGGAAUGCCGGUGGAAACUGUCGAGCUAGAGUCCGGAAGAGGCGAGUGGAAUUCCUGGUGUAGCGGUGAAAUGCGCAGAUAUCAGGAGGAACACCAACGGCGAAGGCAGCUCGCUGGGACGGUACUGACGCUGAGACGCGAAAGCGUGGGGAGCGAACAGG
rnacentral:rRNA from 1 species